GAUGAACGCUGGCGGCGUGCCUAAUACAUGCAAGUCGAGCGAAUUGACAGAGGUGCUUGCACCUCUCGAUUUUAGCGGCGGACGGGUGAGUAACACGUGGGUAACCUACCUAUAAGACUGGGAUAACUUCGGGAAACCGGAGCUAAUACCGGAUAAUAUUUAGCUUCGCAUGAAGCAAUAGUGAAAGACGGUUCUGCUGUCACUUAUAGAUGGACCUGCGGUGUAUUAGCUAGUUGGUGAGGUAACGGCUCACCAAGGCAACGAUACAUAGCCGACCUGAGAGGGUGAUCGGCCACACUGGGACUGAGACACGGCCCAGACUCCUACGGGAGGCAGCAGUAGGGAAUCUUCCGCAAUGGACGAAAGUCUGACGGAGCAACGCCGCGUGAGUGAAGAAGGUUUUCGGAUCGUAAAACUCUGUUGUAAGGGAAGAACAAGUACGUUAGUAACUGAACGUACCUUGACGGUACCUUACCAGAAAGCCACGGCUAACUACGUGCCAGCCGCCGCCGUAAUAC
rnacentral:rRNA from 1 species